GACGAACGCUGGCGGCAUGCCUAACACAUGCAAGUCGAACGAGACCGUCGGGACUAGUUUCGCACGGGUGCGUAACGCGUGGGAACCGGCCCUUAGGCUCGGAAUAACUCCCCGAAAGGGGUGCUAAUACCGGCUAAAGUCUGCGGACCAAAGAUUUAUAGCCCCUGGUUGGGCCCGAGUUGGAUUAGCUAGUUGGUAGGGUAAAAGCCUACCAAGGCGACGAUCCAUAGCUGGUCUGAGAGGAGGAACAGCCACACUAGGACUGAGACACGGCGCAGAAGCCUACCGGAGGCAGCGGUCGAGAAUCUUAGCCAGCGGGCCAGAGCGUGAGCCAGCAACGUCGGGUGAGUAAUGCAGGGCUUAGGGUUGUAAAGCUAUUUUACACGAGAUGAUAAUGACGGUACCGGGCGAAUAAGCCCCGGCUAACUACGUG
rnacentral:rRNA from 1 species